GACGAACGCUGGCGGCGUGCCUAAUACAUGCAAGUCGAACGGAAAGGCGCUGCUCUUGUGGGGUGCUCGUUAGCCGAACGGGUGUGUAACACGCGAGUAACCCGCCCCUGAAUUUGGGAUAACUCCAGGAAAAUGGGGCGAAUAUCGGAUAGGAGCUCCUGCAGCACGGGGGGGGUUGGAAAGUUUCGGCGGUGCGGGAUGGUCUCGCGGCUUACCCGCUGCUUUGGGAGGUAGGGGCUUACCAAGGCUUCGACGGAUAGCCGGCCUGGGAGAGUGACCGGGCACAUUGGGACUGAGAGACGGCCCAGACUCCUACGGGCGGCAGCAGUGGGAAGUAUUGCGCAAUGGGCGGAAGCCUGAUGCAGCAACGCCGCGUGCGGGAUAACGGGCUUCGGGUUAUAAACCGCUUUCGCCUGUGACGAAGCGUGCGUGACGGUAAUGAGUAAAAAAGCACCGGCUAACUACGUG
rnacentral:rRNA from 1 species